CGUAUUUGUCUUCUGUAAGCAGCAACAUAGCAAUGCCAAAGCAACCCGUUGUGUGUUUGGGAAGGUAUGAAGAGUACUGUUCAGUCACAGACAUAUACCUUAUUAAUAUUACAGAAUAUACAGUACAAUCUCAUACAUAAAAAACUCAUAAAUACAAUUGUCCAUGUUACUUCAUGUGAAUGAAUAUGACGACACGAAAAUUACAACUAACUAACUAGCAACUAAGAAUAGACAAUUGCACUUGUAAACUCGAACCCACCAAAAAGGAUGAAGCAAUAAACUAUUUACUUUGUUGCUGCCAAGUACCUAAGUAAAUGCACUGAAAUGUAACCCCCGCACAGAGUAAGUGCACCCUAUCUAAAAAUACAUUCACAUGGAGCCUGGCGUUCCUUCCCAUACGAUAAGAGUACCACUGCUAGCUAUAUAAGGAGAUGCAUUUUGUUCAAUAAAACUCAGUAUCAGAAACAGUA